rnacentral:lncRNA from 13 species
UGUCUCCUCCUGCUCCCCUUGCAAGGCACAGACCCACCAGGCCAGUCUGAACUUCCCCAUCACCAUCACUCUUCCUGCCUUCCCUGCUUCCUUAACUCUGGUGACUCAUUUACUUGUGGCAGUCUAAGGGUCUGUUGAGUCUCUCUCUCCCCUAAGUAAAGUCUGAGCUCCUUGAGCUCAGAGCUUCAUCCGGGUCAUCUCUGUGCCUCCAUUGCCUUAGACUGGGAACUGAACACCUAUUCAGUGGAUACGGAAUUUCAAAACGUUUCAACAAAAGACUGCAUUAAAAAAAAUCAGCAAGAAUUUCUUUGGCUCUGCAGAAAGCACAAAGAGUGUGGGUGAGUGACGAUUUCAGCAGAAAUGCCACAGGACGCACGGGUUCUCAAUUAUUUAUGGGGCUGAGGAGACUGUUCCCAGAGUGUUGCAAUACAUUCUGAGGAUGUCAGAGCAGAAUGGGAGUGACUUUGUUCCUUCGAGUCCCCGCACCCCUACUCUGCAGAUACUGGGGCGGGGGGGGGCUUUGAGCUUCUUUUUGCAGCAAUGAAGAACUGAAGAGCUGAGUUCUGCUCCUUCCUGGUUACUGUUUAUCAGUGUGCUGGCAAGGGUAACAAGAGGAGGCAGGCACCAGAGUCUGUCAUAUUUUGCAGAUAAGAAACCGAGACUUGGGGAGAACUGCUUUGCACAGAGUUGCACAGCUGGAACAUACCACGUACACGGUGGUGUCUUGGUCGCAAUGCUGAUGACUCCGCCGCACAGCCCUGGCCCCCAGCCUCAUGGGAGGAUCAGAAGCACAGAGAGACGCCCACGUAGGGAGAUUGGACCGUCGUCCUAAGCCAAGCGCGGGGCGUCCUGGGGAAGGCCCCAGGCCCGGCGGGAGAAGGGAGCGGUGGGCGGGGCCGGUGAAAGGCUGCC